rnacentral:rRNA from 1 species
UAAGGAAUAUUGGUCAAUGGACGCAAGUCUGAACCAGCCAUGCCGCGUGAAGGAUGAAGGUCCUCUGGAUUGUAAACUUCUUUUAUCUGGGACGAAAACGGGAUUUUUAUCUCAAUUGACGGUACCAGAGGAAUAAGCACCGGCUAACUCCGUGCCAGCAGCCGCGGUAAUACGGAGGGUGCGAGCGUUAUCCGGAUUUACUGGGUUUAAAGGGUGCGUAGGUGGGCUUAUAAGUCAGUGGUGAAAUCUCCGAGCUUAACUUGGAAACUGCCGUUGAUACUAUAGGUCUUGAAUUAUCUGGAGGUAAGCGGAAUAUGUCAUGUAGCGGUGAAAUGCUUAGAUAUGACAUAGAACACCAAUUGCGAAGGCAGCUUACUGCAUAUAAAUUGACGCUGAGGCACGAAAGCGUGGGGAUCAAACA